rnacentral:rRNA from 1 species
AACGAACGCUGGCGGCGUGGAUAAGGCAUGCAAGUCGGACGGAUUUUCUAGCUUUUCCGGAAAAUUAGUGGCAAACGGGUGCGUAACACGUGGGUAAUCUACCUCAGAGAUUGGGAUAACCUGUCGAAAGACGGGCUAAUACCAAAUGUGACCACGAGUACUUCGGUGCUUGGGGUAAAAGGUGGGGACGAUGGCGACAUCGCCUAUCACUUUGAGAUGAGCCCGCGUCCUAUCAGGUAGUUGGGGAGGUAACGGCUCACCAAGCCAAUGACGGGUACCGGGUCUGAGAGGAUGGUCAGCCACACUGGAACUGAGACACGGUCCAGACUCCUACGGGAGGCAGCAGCCGAGAAUCUUCCGCAAUGGGCGAAAGCCUGACGGAGCGACGCCGCGUGUAGGAUGAAGGCCUUCGGGUUGUAAACCUCUUUUAGCAGGGAAGAAGCGAAAGUGACGGUACCUGCAGAAAAAGCACCGGCUAACUACGUGCCAGCAGCCGCGGUAAUAC